GGAUUGGGAUGAACCCCUCCCCAGACUGGGAUGAGCUCUCCAAACUGGGAUCAGCCCCCCCAAGCUGGGAUGAGCCCCCCAGACUGGGAUGAGCUCUCCAAACUGGGAUCAGCCCCCCUGAACUGGGAUGAGCCCCCCAGACUGGGAUGAGCUCUCCAAACUGGGAUCAGCCCCCCCAGACUGGGAUGAGUUCCCUGGACUGGAAUGAGCUCUCCAAACUGGGAUCAGCCCCCCUGAACUGGGAUGAGUUCUCUGGACUGUGAUGGGUCCCCUGGGGUGGAGCCUUUUUUCCCCCCACCCAGAAUUUUCCUGCUUUUCUCCUCCUCCUCCUGCUGCUGCUGCUGCUGAGUGCUGCCACCACCCCUGUCACUGUCCCCUGGGUGCUGUGACACCCCCAGCCUGCCCACACCUCUCAUUGACAGCGCUGGUGGCAGCUUUUUGGGACCACUUUGGGAUGGUGUCACGGACCAAAACAUCAAAGCACGUCCCUGUCCCCUUCUCCUCUGGGCUCCUGGGGGGGAUCGGGGUCGGGUUAAACUGGAACUGGGCAGGGAGGGAGGAGCAGGGACCUCCAGAGGGUCCUGGGAGGAGCACUGUGGGGCCAGGAGGCAGCUCCACCUUUGUUAUUCCCACUGGAAAAUCAGGAAUUAGGGACCAAAGCAGAGUGAGACAUUCCUGGGGACACCUCCCUUCACUGGGGGCAGAGUCACAUUGGGGACAGGGAAUUGUGGCUGCAGUGGGGUUGGGGACAGGGAAUUGGGGUGGCAGCAGGGCAGGGUGGGAAUCCCAGCUGGUGCUAAAACAGGGAGCACAAGGGCAGGGGGAGCCUCCUCCUCCCCCUGCUGAAUCCUCUUCGUAAUCACGUUCUUGUCUGGGAAUGGGGAGGGAGCCUCAAUGUGAAUAAACCCUUUUUUAAUGGACCA
rnacentral:lncRNA from 1 species